AUAACUGCUCAGUUGCAGUCACCUCAGGACCAACUUCCCUCUGGUAUAGUUUAUUUGCUUCUUAUGUAACCUAAGCCUGUCUUCAGGUACAGUUCUGUAAACCUGAAUGAAUCUGAGAGUAAAAUAGUUUUAUAUUAACAUGAAUCAGAUCCGUGUGUGUAUUUUUUAAGAGGGAUUCAAAGGGAUUUUUAACCAGGAAGGCAUCUUUAUUAGUAGAACUCAGACGAGUCAGCAACAAGCUGAUUGCUGCACAAACUUAUAAAGGGGAUUGUUUAACUCUGCUAAAGUAAACCUUCCCACACAAAUUCCCCCCUUUUUUGCUGAAGAGGAGAUGGACAUUUUGCAGUUUGGAAAUGUGUGGGGGUGAACAAAUGAUUAAGGGGAAGAUGUGUAAACACCUCACAAGCAAAUCGGGAUGAAUGUAGGACAACUGCCCAUUGUCUUGUAACCGCUCUGUAAACAAAUGAGAACAAAUGCUCAGGGAAGACCAGAAACAGUCAAACCACCAUGUCAGCUUUGUCCAAGUCAAUCAGGAUGGAUGCUUGAUAAAAAGGUCAUCUUGAGGAGCCUCAAAUGUUCCUUUGUCUUGACCUUAACAGGAGGCUUACAGUGAUAAAGUGUGAGAAACUCUGGCAACACUGUAAACAUGAUGUGGUUUAUAAUAAAAAGCCAAAGAAAGCAAGGAAAAAGGAAAAAGAAAAGAGAGCAACGUCUCCUGGGACACAGCGUCAAUGUAGGUCACCGCUGUGUUGAUGGUGUUGGAGGAGAGAUUACACAAUUUAGCAAAAUUUGCAGGCAGCACUUUUCAGGAGAAAGAAUACGGGAAACAUUUCCAAUAUACCCAGCACUGAAUCCUGCCGGAAUAUUUGUGAGCAGGUGUAUUGGGUAUGCCAGGGCUCAGCACGAAAACAUCAUUCCUGUUUGUUGAUUAAGGUGCUAAAUUGUCUAAAGCUGUCUCUGCUGUCAUCUCUUAGAGCAGGGAUCUCAACUUGUCGUGAGGAGGGACCCACUUGGAACUUCAACCUGUGGUAGGAAACUCAGUUCCAAGAGACUGUAGUGAGGGCCAAGCAGUAAAGGAGAGAAGGCAUGGGAGAGGAGACCAGUGAUAAAGAGGUGGAGCCUAUACACUCAAUUGGAGCUAAGGACCGAAGAGGCCAUGGACCCAGUUGUGGAGAUUUCAACAAACCAUCUAAUUGGAGGGUCUUUUAUUAUGAUGAUCUCAGCUCAGCUGGUACCUGCAUUGGAUGUGAAAUUAUUUUUAUACAGUGGUACCUCAGGUUAAGAACUUAAUUUGUUCUGGAGGUCCUGAAGCGUCUGUAACCCGAGGUACCAAUCUAUAUGUAAUCAUUUUCCAUUGUUUUUAUAUCUGCAAUAUUUCUAUAUGUUUUUGCUGCAUUGAGAAAUUACGUUGAGAUGCUUCAUAGGAAACGAUUCACAAAUGAAAACAACAACACUGGCAACAAUAUUGUAGUCCAGGCAUAGGCAAAUUCAGCCCUCCAGAUGUUUUGGGACUACAACUCCCAUCAUCCCUGAC